rnacentral:rRNA from 1 species
AGUGAACGCUGGCGGUAGGCCUAACACAUGCAAGUCGAACGGCAGCACAGUAAGAGCUUGCUCUUACGGGUGGCGAGUGGCGGACGGGUGAGGAAUACAUCGGAAUCUACUUUUUCGUGGGGGAUAACGUAGGGAAACUUACGCUAAUACCGCAUACGACCUACGGGUGAAAGCAGGGGAUCUUCGGACCUUGCGCGAUUGAAUGAGCCGAUGCCGGAUUAGCUAGUUGGCGGGGUAAAGGCCCACCAAGGCGACGAUCCGUAGCUGGUCUGAGAGGAUGAUCAGCCACACUGGAACUGAGACACGGUCCAGACUCCUACGGGAGGCAGCAGUGGGGAAUAUUGGACAAUGGGCGCAAGCCUGAUCCAGCCAUACCGCGUGGGUGAAGAAGGCCUUCGGGUUGUAAAGCCCUUUUGUUGGGAAAGAAAAGCAGCAGGUUAAUACCCCGCUGUUCUGACGGUACACAAAGAAUAAGCACCGGCUAACUUCGUG